UAGGGAAUCUUCCACAAUGGACGCAAGUCUGAUGGAGCAACGCCGCGUGAGUGAAGAAGGUUUUCGGAUCGUAAAGCUCUGUUGUUGGUGAAGAAGGAUAGAGGCAGUAACUGGUCUUUAUUUGACGGUAAUCAACCAGAAAGUCACGGCUAACUACGUGCCAGCAGCCGUGGUAAUACGUAGGUGGCAAGCGUUGUCCGGAUUUAUUGGGCGUAAAGCGAGCGCAGGCGGAAUGAUAAGUCUGAUGUGAAAGCCCACGGCUCAACCGUGGAACUGCAUCUGAAACUGUCAGUCUUGAGUGCAGAAGAGGAGAGUGGAAUUCCAUGUGUAGCGGUGGAAUGCGUAGAUAUAUGGAAGAACACCAGUGGCGAAGGCGGCUCUCUGGUCUGCAACUGACGCUGAGGCUCGAAAGCAUGGGUAGCGAACAGG
rnacentral:rRNA from 1 species